UUAAAGCUACGGCGGUACUAGUCCAAGGAGGGCAACACACUCUUCAAGUUGUAGAGCCAAGUAGUAGAAGUAGUAGACUUUAUUAGUGAAUGAUUUCUGAAGGCUUUUGUUCUUGUUUUCUGUUACAAUGAUUUUACAGGCGGGAGUACAGGCAAAGUUUUCAUACCUGAAGUGGUUUGCUAAAUGUUUUAAAUAUAGUAAGCUGUUAAAUGGUGGAAGGCUCGUGCUAGUGAAUUGCAAAAUGAGAGAUCGAGAAGACUCACCCAAUGGUAGUAAUUUCGCUAGUUUGUGGCGUUACGCAGAGUUUAAAAAUAAAUUUCGUCGUUUCGUCUUGUCGUUGUUCUAUCAAGAUGCGCUGCUGAAAUGUUUCGAAUGGUUGCUUGAAAUAUUUCAAAUCAGACAUUCUUUCAAGUUGUGAAAAGAAUCACAACAAUUACAGCGAAUCACGUAAAGUGCAGCAGAACUAAACGACAAUUACAUACGUUCCAUUAGUAAGAAGAAACACAGAAACAACUCAGGAACCAUUCGUCAAAUAACCUCAAUCAUUUGGCAUUUGUACAUGCAGGUAGAUAUAUAAACGAUAUUAGCAAAGCCUAGGACUAAGCCACUAGGUUGGAUCGUUUAGAGUCAUUCCAGUGAUCUACCGGAUACAGCAAUUCUAAGUGCACCAAGUAAUGAGGCCCAGCACGAUACUGGCAGAUGUUGAUGGACCACCCAGAUAACAGCAGAUCAUUAUAUCAACGAGGCCCUGUCUGCGAUCAUCAAAACAAACAACAUAGAUAGGUCGACGAAGACGGCGUCACAAGAAAACAAUUGUAACCAUAAGACUCGGAGUUCGUACAGAAAGGAAAUUGGGAGACAAAACUGCAAGCACAUGUAGAAACAGCAUGAGUCCUGUCAUUUGGGCAUUUGAGGGACCGAUCUACACUCAACGAAACUGCCAAGCCCACCCGGGAUAUGGUGAUCUUGCAGUAUAACAUGUUUCCAGUCAAAUAUUUCAUAUAAAUUAGUUUCAAGCAGCACGGCCCAUCCAUUCUUAACCCAGUUUGUUUGAAACUCUCAAAUUAAAUGGUACACCAAUUGGUUUAACUUGUGUUAGAGAACUUAUAUUAGUAUAUUUGGCAAAUUCCGAGUGAUCUUUAUCUUACAGUAUUUUUUCCCCCUGAUAUGUUGUGCACUUUGGACUAUUACAAUCACCAAACCACGAUACGUAUAUUAAGAGCAAGGUAGCAGCCAAA